UGGGUUAAGGAUCUGGUAUUGUCACUACUUGGCUCAGGUCACUGCUGUGUCACUGAUUUGAUCCCCGGCCCAGAAACAUCUGCAUGCUGCCAAUGCAACCAAAAAAAAAAAAAAAAAAUGCUAAAGAGCUUCCAUCAGUAUUUAGUAACAUAAAAUCUUAGAGCCGGUGUAUCUUUUCCCUUUAUUGACUCAUUUAAAUCUUUUUUUUUAAUACCAUGAUAUGAAUUUUACUGACCUCUGGGAGUAGGAAACAUAGGUACUAAGCUAAGUAUAGAGUUGUCCACAGUCUCUCAAUGCCUUACACAUAGUAGGUGGUCAGUAAAUGUCAAAUGAAUGCAUGUAUAAAUAAAACAUGUUUGGAGGAAUAGAGAGUACUAGAAACAUGUUGCUUGUUACAUAUUUUGGAUAGUCUUGAUAGACUUCCUUUAAUUCUCAUACUGCUGAUGAGAUAGAAAUUAGACUACCAAUAAAUUUUUUCCUUAAAAUGAGAAAUGAAUAUGUGAGAAUUGAUCCUCAUCACAAGAAUUGAUGUAACACUAUUUGCAAUAUGCUUGUAUUCAUUUUUGCUGACUAUGAGAAAAGUCUUUAUAUUAUCCAUAUUUUACACACAAUACCGAGGCAUUGAAUGACUAAGCUAUUCAUUACCUUGGAAAUAUUUGCAGCAUAGUUAUAAAUAAAUCCUGUGUUAUGUGAGCAAUGCCAUAGGUUUCCUGAAUGAUUGCUUUCUUCUCCAACUCCCAACCCUCACCUUAACUCUAUCUCACUGAAAACACAAAAAUAAAAUGUACAGUAACUUUCUUAGAGUCAGGUAAGAUUAAAUCAUAUUAAAAAUCUGUGUUUUGCUAAACAGAAGUAAUGGGCCCUGUGUUUACUGUAUACAUAUUUAUAAUUAUGGUUUCGAUUAGUCAUUGAAUUCUGACUAAAAAAGUAGAGAUUAGUUCUUGCUUUACAUAAGCUCCUCCAAAGUUUCAUUUUGAAUGGCAUUAGGCAGUCACAUAACAAUGGCAGAGGUAGUGUAGUGAGCCUGUAUCUAUUGCAUCAACACAUCUUGUUUAAGCUUCUCAAAUUUUGGUAUCACUGGUUGAUGAUAUUCAUGAGGCUUGGAAGUACUUCUGGGAACAGUCUUUUUUUUUUUUUUUCACCUUAGUUUAUACCAGUGGGUGAGAGGCCAAUAUUGGGGAUAUUUUUUUUUUUCCCCAGGACCUUAGUGAGGUAGAAUAAACUAUGUUCCUCUGUUAGUCUAACAUUAGAAAUUAAGAGAUGAACCUAAAACAUGCAUUAACUAGAAUACUAAACCAAAUGAUAGCAGAUGCUUCAGUGACUUGUACUAGGAAUUAUAGUACAAAAUCCCCAGGGGGGAGAAAUCACCAAACCCUAGGAUUCCUCAGCAAAAUUGCAGAUUUACCUAUGAUUUCAGGGUUAAAAAAAUAAAGGAAGAAUAAUCAAUAUUUAUUGAGAAUGUAGAUUAUCUAGAUAUAAUUUCUUUCUUUUCUCCCUUCCUUUCCUUUCCUUCCUCAUUUCCUUCUCUCCUUCUAUUCCACAUGAUAAAUGGAUACCUACUCUUUGCUAGACACUGAGCUAAGCCAAGUAGAUAAAGUACUUGCCACCAAAGAGCAUGUAGGCUAGUAGCGCUUUUUGUCUUCACUUAUUGUUAGUAUGAAGCCUGUCAAUUUACCUAAUCUUCCUAUUCCAUUGUUACUUUGGAAAAUUGGAACAAUAAUAGUAUUUACCUGAUAUACUGUUGUGCUGAGUUAGAUAUAACACAAUACAUAUUAAAAAAAAAAAAAAGGUUCAGUAGUUGACACGUGGGAAGUGCUCAAUAAAUCUUAGCUACACUGCUAUUAUUUCUAUUACCACAACCACCACUUCUACAACCUAGAUACUGAAGAAAGACAAUCUACUUGCCCGAGAACAGGGAUCCUGGUCUGGAUCUUCGCACAUAAAUUUUCUUAAAUGUUCUAUCCAAAGUUACCUCUGCUUCUAGGGCUUUAGAGGAAAUUCUACAAAUCACAUAGUUUUAGAACCUGAAGGAACCUUAAUGGUCAUCUUUUUAAUAGCUUUGUUUUAUCCAUGAUGAGAAAAUAAGCUCAGAAAAGUUCAUGUACUAGAGGUGAGGAGGUGCGGGAUUUGAAAUCAAAACUCUUGAUUCUUGGUCUAGUGUGAGAUGCCUGGUAUCAAAAAAUACUAAUUUUUUUCUACCAGUGAUUUGAGGGUUGAUUGCUUAUCUCCAGGAAGUAAUUGGACUGUGUCAGGUUGUUGGAAUACUAACCACAAGACAAGUUAUCUCUGCACUGAAUCUAGAAGACCUUCAGGUUUCUCAUAAACUGUGUAAUUUCAUCUAAAUUAAUGGAAGCCUUUCAGUUUGUGUUUGUGAAUAAUUGGUUUCUUCUUAAGGAAAAUAAACUGAGUCAAGAUUAGCAAGACAUCUUAUUAUACAAGUGACUUUUCAGGUGCUUUAAAGGAGCAUGCAAAUAUCUUAAAUAAAUCAGCCUCUUAGCUGAUGACAUUUUUAGGGUGUUUGGAUUCUAAUUCUUUUUCCUGACUUUGAAUUUAGGAGCUUUGGAAUUCAAAUGACCUGCACUGAAAUCCCAGUUACAUAAUUCAGUAGCUGUGUGACCUGAUCAAAGUUGUCUAACCUUACUAAGCCACCAUAUUCUUAUCUACAAUAUGGUGGUAACAGUGUCUACCUUUUUAAUGCUGGAUGUGAGGAUUAAAGUAGGUAUACAAAAUACUUUAUUUAGUGCAUAAUGUAGACUAGUGCUCCCCAAAUACUAAUUUUAUUUUCUCUCCUCCUGUUAAAAUAUAAAAUACGUUGUGAUAGGCAAUUCAGGAAUUUGGAGGAAGUAGAAGAGUCAUUCAUUAAGAAAAUUGAUUUUUGCAAAGCUAUGUCUUUGAUGGUUGUGGUUGAGUAUCUCAUUUCAGCUUGGUUCUAAGUGUGCAUGCUACAUGUCUGUAGAAGCUGGGGCUAUUUAAAGAAAAAUUCAAGAUAAGGAUAAUCACAUCCACUCAAAUGUCUGUUGAGGAGUUCCUGUCGUGGCUCAGUGGUUAAUGAACCUGACUAUCAUCCAUGACGAUGAGGGUUCGAUCCCUGCCCUUGCUCAGUGGAUUAAGGAUCUGUUGUUGCCAUGAACUGUGGGUUCAGAUGCGCCUCAGAUCUUGAGUUGCUGUGGCUCCCGAGUUGCUGUGGCUCCUAUUGGACCCUAACCUGGGAAACUCCAUAUGCUGCAGAUGUAGCCCUAAAAAGAC
rnacentral:lncRNA from 1 species